UCAAUUAUUUAAUAGCCUCUGGCUAUAGGAAAUUGUUAGUGGCAGACGGGUGAGUAAUGCGUAGGAAUCUACCUAGUAGUACGGAAUAGCCAUUAGAAAUGGUGGGUAAUACUGUAUAAUCCCCGAGGGGGAAAGAUUUAUCGCUAUUAGAUGAGCCUACGUUAGAUUAGCUAGUUGGUGAGGUAAUGGCUUACCAAGGCUAUGAUCUAUAGCUGGUCUGAGAGGACGAUCAGCCACACUGGAACUGAGAUACGGUCCAGACUCCUACGGGAGGCAGCAGUGGGGAAUAUUGGACAAUGGGCGAAAGCCUGAUCCAGCUAUGCCGCGUGAGUGAAGAAGGCCUUCGGGUUGUAAAACUCUUUCAAUAGGGAAGAUAAUGCCGGGUACCUAUAAUUU
rnacentral:rRNA from 1 species